UUAACAGUUUGGAGGGAGAAAACUUCAGGUAUGUAGAACAGACAGUGAAAAGGCAGGAGUUGGGAAAAUGGAACAUCUUGUGGAAAGAACAGAAAGGAGGCGAGUAUCACUGGAUUUUAAAGGCUUUGGAGAGUAAAGAAGUCUGAAAAGGGCUCCAGAGAAGAGGAAGGAGUCAUCACCCUAUUUAUAGAUGGACAAUCUGGAGUGGCAUCCUUUGUGUGAAGUCUGAAAGGCUCAGGAUUUAUUUAUGUGUCCAUUUCAAUAAGAGCUCAAUGACCAUUUCAUCUGAGAAGAAAGAACAAUGGGAAAAGAAAGAACUUAUAGCAAGAGUCAAGAGAUAUACAAAAUAGAAUUACUCCCCAAACCCAAAGGAGAAGCAAAACUCAGAAGAGAAACAGUCACCAAUGACAGACGGAUACAGAAGAUAGUUGCCUAAGGAAGGAACUGGACGAUUUCAUUAAUAUAGGUAACUCCCAAAGAAGAAAAUACCCUCUAUCAAUGCAAAUUAACACUUUCUUAGAGAUUUACUAGGGCACAAAGAAUUUAAGUGAGUUGCCCAGGAUCAUAAAGCCAGCAUAUAUGAAAGGCAGAAAUACAGUUUGUUUGAUUGUUUGUUUUACUUCAAAGCCAAAUCUUGAUCUUGUUUCUGAUUCUGCAUCUCAUGCCUAGAACAUAAUGGAUAUUUAAUAAAAAUUUGUCAGUUGUUUAUAACUCCAUUCUCCCUCAACACUAAAAUAAAACAAACAAACAAAAAAACCAAAACCCCUCAAAAAACAAUUCAUACUUGAAGGGAGGGAACAUGAUUUGGGCAGUUUCUUUCUCUCGGUACUUCAGUGUUU